UAUAUUUCCAGACGUUUAUCCUUUGCUUUAUGUUGUCGAGUGGAGUGUAUCUCUACUCAGAGCCGAGGGGCUGGAUAACUAUUACAAAGGUCAAAUGCUUAUGCUGAAGUUUUGGGUCGGCGUGUGGUUUCCAUGGCACUGCGAUUGGGGUUUCCAUGGACAACACCAGAAUCGUCCUGGUGGCCAUCGAGAACCUCAUGAUCGCCCAAUUCUAGGAGCCCCAAUAAUUACUAUGAAGCUGCUCAUGUUGGUGGAUGUUAGAUUUUAUGAAAGAAACAUAUUAUUACUCUGUUUCUGACUUAUGUUUUUCUGUUUUUCUAUUCUGGGAUCUGAAUUUUGGUGUUUUGAGCUUGAGUCUCAUUUGCUUUGAAUUGUUAUUGAAGAAUUUGAAAUUACCCUGAUUGUUUGUUCAGUUGUUUUAAUGGUAUGGAUUCUAUUAGUCUUUUGUAAAUUAGUUUUAUGAUGUUUCAGUGACGCUAUAGUUCUCAAAAAGAAAUGUUACAUCCUGUCUAUUUCAGAGCGUUUGAUUUUCUUUGGAGAAUAAAUUUAUUCUAUCACUUCUCUACUCCUUUCUAUUUUAUUUUAUUUCUUUCCUUGUAAUUAGCCUCUCUAGCACAAGCAGAAUGGAGAUGUAAGACACAUUUAUCUAUGUUUGUAUUUCCUUCUUUCAUGAAUGUGUGAUUGAAAUUGCUGUAAUUGUUUGUUCAGAUGUUAUAAUGGUAAUUUAACAUUUUCUUUAUUUGGUGAUAUUACUUAUUUUCUUACUUUUUUUUUCCAAUUUUCCAUGCACCCCCAAUUGUUUAGUUCAUGUCUUGCUCAACAAUUGAUUUAUAGUGUAAUUAGUGAUGAUAGAUUUAAUUAAUGAUUGUUAAUUUGUAAUAGAUUAUAUUGAUGUACUGGCCCAGAUACUCUUUUUCGUAAGGAAGGGGUUGAGGUUUUGUACAGUGCAUAUUUUCCGUAACUUCAUUUCCAAUUUUCCAAAAUUGAUUUUAUUCUUGAAGCUGAAACCCUCAUCUGUUCUUAUCUACGGUUUAAAGUAGCUUUGUGUACAAAACACCUUACCUUUCUCUCACCCAUAUUUUUGUUGCUGCACGAACUCUGUGAAAGUAUAACCUACAUACAGGAAAGAACGUUAAUAUGCAACUAAGUUACUAUGAAGUUGUUCAUAUUAGUGGCUGUUAGAUUUUAUGACUGUAUAUUUUUUUGACUGCAUCUUUAUUUAGUAUUUACUGUAUUGUGUAAUAUAGGUGACUCUGUGAUGCUUUGGGUGAGUACUUGCAAUUACUCUGUUUUUGACUUGGGUUUGUUGUUCUGGGAUCUAAAUUCUGGUGUUUUCAGUUUUGAGUCCCACUUGCUUUGAAUUGUUAUUGAAGGAUUUUCCUUACAAUUAUUAUUACUCUGUUUUUGACUUGGGUUUUGUUGUUCUGGGAUCCGAAUUCUGGUGUUUUGAGUUUUUGAGUCUCAUUUGCUUUGAAUUGUUAUUGAAGGAUUUGAGAAAAUUGACAUUGGAGAUGAGAAAAUUUGGUUUGGGUAGAAUUGUAUUUAGUUUCUUGUUGGAUAGGCCAAUUCUUAUGUCAUGACAAUCCUUU